rnacentral:rRNA from 1 species
CAGUAACGGCGAGUGAAGCGGCAACAGCUCAAAUUUGAAAUCUGGCUCCUUCGGGGUCCGAAUUGUAAUUUGUAGAGAGUGCUUCGGGCGAGACCUCGGUCUAAGUCCAUUGGAACAUGGUGUCAUAGAGGGUGAGAAUCCCGUAUGCGACCGUGGCUCGAGCCCAUGUGAAGCCUCUUCGACGACGAGUCGAGUUGUUUGGGAAUGCAGCUCAAAACGGGUGGUAAAUUUCAUCUAAAGCUAAAUACUGGCUGGAGACCGAUAGCGCACAAGUAGAGUGAUCGAAAGAUGAAAAGCACUUUGGAAAGAGAGUCAAACAGUACGUGAAAUUGUUGAAAGGGAAGCGCUUGCAACCAGACCUGCCCGUAGGCGAUCAGCCGCUGUUCUCAGCGGUGCACUCGCUCUGCGAUCAGGCCAGCAUCGGUUUCGGCGGUCGGAUAAAGGCCUUGGGAAUGUAGCUUCCCUUCGGGGGAGUCUUAUAGCCCUCGGUGCAAUGCGGCCAGCCGGGACCGAGGACCGCGCUUCGGCUAGGAUGCUGGCGUAAUGGUUGUAAGCGACCCGUCUUGAAACACGGACCAAGGAGUCUAACAUCUAUGCGAGUGUUUGGGUGUCAAACCCAUACGCGGAAUGAAAGUGAACGGAGGUGAGAACCCUUAAGGGCGCAUCAUCGACCGAUCCAGAUGUCCUCGGAUGGAUUUGAGUAUGAGCAUAGCUGUUGGGACCCGAAAGAUGGUGAACUAUGCCUGAAUAGGGUGAAGCCAGAGGAAACUCUGGUGGAGGCUCGCAGCGGUUCUGACGUGCAAAUCGAUCGUCAAAUUUGGGUAUAGGGGCGAAAGACUAAUC